rnacentral:lncRNA from 1 species
CACAAAACCACCGCACCUCAGCCUCUCCCCGCCCCCACCUCCACCUCGCCUCCGACCACCGCUCCACCAGCAAACGCCAUCAAGCAACCUAGCCCAGCCGCUGCUUUUCCUCCGCUCUUCCCCUUGCCACCUUCACUGUCCAGCCAGCACCACCAGUGAAUCAGAAAAGGCAGUGUCGGAUAGUUUCUUACAAAUUGAUUCGGAUAUUGUCUUUCCAACAUCUCUUCCAUCCACUCUUUGUUCGAAUUUCUGAAAAUAUUUCUCUAAGUUGAAAAUAAUUCUAGCAUUAGCUUCUGAUUUAGGUAUGUUUAUGAUUACUAAUUGUAGGAAUUUGCUUCCGUUAAUCCUUAGUUCUUUAUUAUUCUUCGUUGUAGCUUGUUCAGUAUUAUGCGUGAUAGAUUGAUUUUGUACUUACAUGCUCUGUAUCGUAUUAUUUAUGAAUCGAGUCCCUGUAUCCCUGAAUCAAGUGAUUUUGAAUAAUAUACUUUCCCUCCUUAUGUGAUCUCAUGUGGUUAUUGUAGCAAUUUGCUUCCUUCCUUUCUUAAGCUUGAUUUAUGAUAGAUAUGGUGACUUGAUACUGCCUCGGUUUAGCAAUUGUUUAAGGUAAACUUUGAUGUUGGCAUGUUAGAUUUACAACCAGCUUGAAUAAUUGUCUCCUUUUCCAUUGUUAACUGAUUCCUCUCUUAAAUUAGACUGGAAAACUGUUGUAUUUAUGAAUGCCGAUAUCAAUUUGCUUUCCUCCUCUUCUGCUUCAUUUAUGCUCAGUUAAUUCAUACUCUCUUAUUUGUUUUCUCCACGGAUAUCUUGAUGAGUUAUCUCUUAUGGUAAGUUCGAACUUGAGGAAGUUUUCUUUAUUCUGCAAUAAAUUCCGCGUGAAUUUACACACUUUUAUAGAGCAGCCCCUUUGUACUUGGUCUUAUAUUUUGGAAAAUCUGAUUCGGUUGUCUAAGAAAUGGAUUUUCUAGAUUAGAUUGUGAAUUAUUUUUGCAUUUUUCUCUCCUUGAUUGAUUACUACUUCUAUGAUAUAUAAACAACUCCUUUCCUCUCUACUUGGCAGUGGACUGAUCACUGGAAAAAUACCCUCAAGCUCUCGUUCUCUUCAAAAUGAAUGAAAAAUCUAUCGAGCUCUCCUACUCAUCUCUACAAUAAGUCUGAACACUGAAAGUUCUUUGCCUUUGACUCAUUUUUGCCAUAUCACUGAGUUCAAAAUCAUCAUUUAUCCGCAAUGCCUCACAGAGCUCGGCCUAUGGCAGGUCUCCUGCUGUUUACUGGACUUAACGUUGUUCUGGUCUCAACUAUAACUCCUGUCUAUGACUUCGUAUGCUUCCAUCCAUAUUGGGAAAGAAGAGUAAGAGAGAGCAUCGGCGUCAGGAACGUGAAGCAGCUUUGAGAAGUUCAACAUCUGCUCAAGUCUGAUAUCAAGGUUGGAGAUUCUGUAUAGCAGAUUAUCUUAAUUUAACUUGGUCAUGAUACAUUCAGAGAAAGGUAUUUAACAAAAUAAGUUGAAGCCCUUCACGCGCUACUGGUCUAUAUUCUGCACACAAGUUUUUGUUGUUCCCCUGUACACAUGGAGGAGUUCCAAUUUCAAAUUUAGCUGGCUUACACUUGAAAAAGCAGAGAAAGAUGAAGACAUACACAGCUUACUCGCGGUACUUGUUCUCUUUGAAAAAGAAUUGUGAUAGAAACUCUUGUUUUAGUUUUGUUUUCUGAGGUAACUGUUGUGUUCCAUCUUUAUUGGUGAGUGUUUGGCUGUCUGAAUCUGGAAGUUUGAGAACUGAAAGAUCUUGGGUGGUUCAACGUUUCAAAGAGAAAGCUUACUUGAGGGAAGAAACGAAAUAGAAUAUUGAGAGACUAAAACCCUAAAUCCGUAUCUCAUUUUGAUUCUCUUUGUUCCAUUUUACCUGUAAUAUUUUUACUAUCUAAAACACAAUAAUGUAUGGUUUAUCUUAAAUCAUAAAUUCCUAAAGUUUUUUUUUGAAAAAAAAUCGUGCUCAAUUAAACAAGUCGUGCUAAAUUAUUUAAUUUAGAUACUCAAACUAAGUUUUAUUUCAAUUGAACACUUUACCUAGUUUUAUUAGAUACUUCCGAUUUCAAAUUUAAGUUUCUUUUGAUGUGUAUUUAUUCGUCUAUUAUGUAGUUAAGUCUAUAUAAAAUAUAUUAUCCACACUAAUGGUUAUGUAUAUGUCUCAAUAAGUCAUCGAACCCUAGA